CUUGUUGCCUCGGCGGAUCAGCCCGCUCCCGGUAAAACGGGACGGCCCGCCAGAGGACCCCUAAAACUCUGUUUCUAUAUGUAACUUCUGAGUAAAACCAUAAAUAAAUCAAAACUUUCAACAACGGAUCUCUUGGUUCUGGCAUCGAUGAAGAACGCAGCAAAAUGCGAUAAGUAAUGUGAAUUGCAGAAUUCAGUGAAUCAUCGAAUCUUUGAACGCACAUUGCGCCCGCCAGUAUUCUGGCGGGCAUGCCUGUUCGAGCGUCAUUUCAACCCUCAAGCACAGCUUGGUGUUGGGACUCGCGUUAAUUCGCGUUCCUCAAAUUGAUUGGCGGUCACGUCGAGCUUCCAUAGCGUAGUAGUAAAACCCUCGUUACUGGUAAUCGUCGCGGCCACGCCGUUAAACCCCAACUUCUGAAUGUUGACCUCGGAUCAGGUAGGAAUACCCGCUGAACUUAAGCAUAUCAAUA
rnacentral:rRNA from 1 species